rnacentral:pre_miRNA from 1 species
GCGCACCACUCCCACGGUGCGCCAUUAGUAAUUAUGUUUCAAUUUUUUUAUUUUUUAAACUACUAAUGGCGCACCGUGGGAGUGGUGCGC